GUGGGCUUCUUGCUCACAGGGCUCCAAAGGACAUCCAAAUGUUCUUGUGAUUCCUAACCAAGACAUAUUAUGAAUUCAUUGUGCUGGUCAGGCUCUUCUGAACGUGAAAAACUCUGGCCCUCAGUGCAUCCACUUUCAUGAUGUUGCUUUCUCAUCCAUUAAGUUUUGUCUUCCGGUCCAUAAAAACUCAGUCUUUCAGACUACUAUAUCCAGCUGCAGAUGUCCAAUUGGUCCAGCCCUUGUGACUUUGGGACUGGUGGAGCCAAAGUGUCCCUGGCCCUUUGGUUUCAGGACUACAUAGACAUCCAGAGCAUAAGGGCUUUGGAAGGGGUCAGGUUGAUAGCUGCUUGUGUGGAGACUGGGCCAGACAUAUUGGCAGGAAGCUGGCUUCUUUGGUGGUCCUAGGGGAAAUGAAGAUAAACAUCUCCAUUCCACAUGAUUGCAUUCACAUUUGAUGGAAAUAUUGAAUGCCUUUUCGUUCUGGCUGCAGUCAUAUCCUGUCCCUUUGUUUCUGUCUUUCUGACUGCGUCUUCAUUCACUCUUAGGAGACUUGUAGCUGGAAUUUACUAAGAAAGCACUCAGGGACAGGCGUCGGCUUCCCACUCAGUCCCAUACUCACUACCAGCCAUAAGCAUCAGAUAUCGCAAAGGAGAAUAGCCCUCCUAUCCCAGAGUUUGGUGCUUGGCUGUUUGUAGCCAGGGGCAGGGGGGAGGGGAGCCAGCUCACCUCCUUGAUCUGCCUGAUUGAGAUGCCUUCCUUCUGGAAAGCAGACAUUUCACUCAGGAGCAGUAGGCUCCAGAAGCUGGUCAGCACAGAAAAAGCUUUGUUCUGAAGAGGCACCAAUGCCCCUCCCCACACACUGGAGGCAUAGCUCUGGGAACCUCCAAGCUACAACAGUGUCACUGUUCCCUCCAUUCAAUGAUGGGAAAAGCAACAAGAGCAAACCAAGUCCCAGGGUAGUAUAUGUCCUUAAGAAGACAGAAAGCAGUCCUGUUGCUGACAGAGCUCCCAGAAGGAGACUCUAGAGGGCACUUUUGCCUAAGCCCUUUGUUGUCUCUUCUUCUCACAGUCAGCCAGGUUAACAGAAGCUGGUACUGGGCACUCCCUUCUCCAUAGAGUUCCCCUUCCAAGCUCUGAAGAUCUCUGGCCCUCCUUAUCCACCUUGACACAUGUUUGCUGUCUUGUGGAAACAAGGCUCUUCCCAUAAUCCAUUCAGAAUCAGUGUUUCAAGAAUCUAUCCUCUGUUUUCCACGUGGGAGUCUGAUCCAGUCCUUGUGACUGUGGGAGAGAUAUUGCCAUAGGGCUACUUCUUCAUUAAUUCACUGGGUUUCAGAAGCAUGCAGCCAUUCAGAGCUCAUGGAUUUGAAGGGGACCAGUGGAGGAUGUCUGGUGUUUAGGCUAGGCCAGAGAUUUGGGUAGAGACCAGGCCUCCUUCUGGGCAGAAGCAAAGGAAUAAAGCCAUGUUUCCAAGUGGAUCCCCAUUCCCACCAUCAAAGACGAGCUUUGGCCCACCUGGUAUCCAUUUCCUUUCCCUUGUUGUGUGUCUGACAAUGUAUUUUUUUUUUCUCCCUUAGGCGCCAUGGAGCCAUCACUUACUCAGCUGUCACAACUGGGUGGGCUGUAAUGUCCCACAACUGGGUGGGCUGCAAUGUCCCACUCUGCUCUUGUGCUCAAUGAGAGCAUUCAGGCUCUGAUCUACCAAAGGAAAGAAUGCCUUGAGUCCCUGGGGGCUUGGUGCUUGGCCUACUGUGCUAUGGAGGGUGAAGGGGAGCCAGCUUGCCUCACUGACCUGGAUGACUGAGUUGCCUUUAUUCUGAGAAGGACACAGUUCACACAUGGGCACUAUAACGAGGAGGGAGAGCCAUGGAGCCAUCAAUCACUCAGUUUGCACCCCUGGGUACUGCAAACUCUACUCUGCCCCUGUGCUCAGUGAGAGCUAUCAGGCUCUGCUCUACCUAAGGAAAGAAGGCCUUGAGUCCCUAGGUGCUUGGACUGCUGUGCUAUGGAUGGUGAAGGGGAGCCAGCUUGCUUCUCUGACCUGGAUGACUGACGUUCCUCCAUUCUGAGAAGCAGACAGUUUGCACAUGGGCAGUAUGAAGGAGGAGGCGGUGAUCAUUGGAAGAGUCCUUGCCAGGAAUGAGGGAAGCAAGUCCUUGUUGAAGAUUCCUGAGCAAGAGCCCUCAGAACACAAUAGCUACAGCUCAAGCACCGUGGCCUCCCUCAACUGAUGGGAAAAGUGGUGGGGAUAACCAAGCCAGAAAUCCCUGGCUCCUGAAGAAAGAAUGCAAGUACUUGCUGACAGGGCUCCAUGGUGUAGUUUCUCAGAGGGCCCUUUUGGCCUAAGCCCACAGGGCUUCCUUAUUCUGGAUACAACCUGGUUGAUAGGAGACUGCGUUGGGUACUUCAUUCUCACCUUUCUUCAAAUCUCAUGUGUGAUGAAGAACACUGGCAGUGUGUGUCUCCAUUACCAACCCUUAGCCCUUUUGAUAUAAGGCGGUUUGUAUGGAAACUAUUCUGAGAUAGUGUCUCAAAGUCCUCUCAUCUCUCAGCUUGGGUGUUUGGUGGUGUUUUUAUGAUGCUGCUAGAGAUGUUGCAUUGGGCCCUUCCUAAUUUGGUUUCAGAAUCAUGUGGCCCUCCCCAGACCAGGGUUUGUGCAGGUACACAAGGAGAAUGCUUGCAGGUAGGCUAAGCCAGAAGUUGGGGUUUGAUCACACCUCCUGUGUGCGACAUGGGGAGGUAAAGUUGUCGGUCUCCCUCCUCGGUGUCCCCCAUCCAGUCUGAGUACACAACUUUGACUCACCCCAUUGCCAUUCCUCUCCCAUUUCUGCUUUCCCAACUCAAUCUCAGUUCACACACGGAGACCGUGUGUCUGUGUCCUACAACAACCAAGGUCCCUGGUAUGGAGGUGAGUUUCCACGGCUUUCCUGAGCCAAUGCAGUGCUCCCAGAGUCUGAUAUCCCAGAGGACAGCUAGCCCCCUGUCCUUGAGGACUUGGCACUGGGCCGGCUACAGUAGCCACAUGGACUCCCCCACCCUAAUGGAUGCAGCUACUCUCAUUCAUCAAAACAGAUGGUCUUUGCAUGUUCAGCAUGCUCCACGAACUGAUCAGUGCACACAAAGCCUUUCGAAUACACACUGCACCAAGGCCUCUUUCCCACCUCUUAAUCGUCACAUGGAAGCACCUUCUUCAUAACUCUGAAACUCUGUUGCCCCUUGUGACGGAUACAAUGGGCAAAGCACACCAGAAGCCAAAGAUCCCCUCUGUUUCUUAAGGGAGAAGGCGGGCCUUUUGUUCACAGGCCUCCAGUGAGCAUCCUUUGAAGCAGUCCUGUAGCGAAUGCCCACAAAAGGCUCUUGUGAGUCCUGAGCAAGCCAGCUUCUGAAUAAUUGUGCCAGUCAUGUUCUUCCAAACAUGAAGAACUCUGGUUCUCAUUGUUUCCAGUUUCAUGACAUUGCUUUAUCAUCCAUCAGGGUUCGCCUUGGGGUCCAUACAAAUUCAGUCUUUCAGAGUACUAUCUCCAGCUUGCAGAUAUCCCACAGGUACCAGCCCUUAUGACUGUGGGACAGGUGGCACCGAAGGAGCCCAGGCCUUUUGGUUUUAGGACUACAUGGACAUCCAGAGCCCUGGGCAUCAGAAGGGGUCCAGCCAAGGACUGUUUGUGGGGAGGACUGUUUGUGUGGAGGAUGGGUCAGAUGUAUUAGAGGGAGCUGGCCUCCUUGCUGGGCCUAGGGGAAGUGAAGAUAAGCAUGUCCAUUCCACACUGAUCGCUUUCCCAUUGAAUGGAAAUAUCGAAUGCCCUUUGGUCCUGGAUGAA